GGGCUCCAGAAACAUUUGCUUUAAGUCUUAAAAUAUCAGGUUCCCGCAUCAUGGGGCUUCCCUCGGGGCCCGCUGGGCAGGCAGGAGGGAUUUUAGGAGUAAGCCCAGGGACCACUGACUGGAGGAAGAUAUGGCCCCCACACCCCCUCACUCCCUCCCAGGCAGACCACCGGCCUUGGCCCCAGGGACAGGCCUUGGUGCAGAGUGGGAAUUGGAGCCAGGCAGCAACAGCUGGGCCCAC
rnacentral:lncRNA from 1 species